rnacentral:rRNA from 1 species
GACGAACGCUGGCGGCGUGCCUAAUACAUGCAAGUCGAACGAACUCUGGUAUUGAUUGGUGCUUGCAUCAUGAUUUACAUUUGAGUGAGUGGCGAACUGGUGAGUAACACGUGGGAAACCUGCCCAGAAGCGGGGGAUAACACCUGGAAACAGAUGCUAAUACCGCAUAACAACUUGGACCGCAUGGUCCGAGCUUGAAAGAUGGUUUCGGCUAUCACUUUUGGAUGGUCCCGCGGCGUAUUAGCUAGAUGGUGGGGUAACGGCUCACCAUGGCAAUGAUACGUAGCCGACCUGAGAGGGUAAUCGGCCACAUUGGGACUGAGACACGGCCCAAACUCCUACGGGAGGCAGCAGUAGGGAAUCUUCCACAAUGGACGAAAGUCUGAUGGAGCAACGCCGCGUGAGUGAAGAAGGGUUUCGGCUCGUAAAACUCUGUUGUUAAAGAAGAACAUAUCUGAGAGUAACUGUUCAGGUAUUGACGGUAUUUAACCAGAAAGCCACGGCUAACUACGUGCCAGCAGCCGCGGUAAUACGUAGGUGGCAAGCGUUGUCCGGAUUUAUUGGGCGUAAAGCGAGCGCAGGCGGUUUUUUAAGUCUGAUGUGAAAGCCUUCGGCUCAACCGAAGAAGUGCAUCGGAAACUGGGAAACUUGAGUGCAGAAGAGGACAGUGGAACUCCAUGUGUAGCGGUGAAAUGCGUAGAUAUAUGGAAGAACACCAGUGGCGAAGGCGGCUGUCUGGUCUGUAACUGACGCUGAGGCUCGAAAGUAUGGGUAGCAAACAGGAUUAGAUACCCUGGUAGUCCAUACCGUAAACGAUGAAUGCUAAGUGUUGGAGGGUUUCCGCCCUUCAGUGCUGCAGCUAACGCAUUAAGCAUUCCGCCUGGGGAGUACGGCCGCAAGGCUGAAACUCAAAGGAAUUGACGGGGGCCCGCACAAGCGGUGGAGCAUGUGGUUUAAUUCGAAGCUACGCGAAGAACCUUACCAGGUCUUGACAUACUAUGCAAAUCUAAGAGAUUAGACGUUCCCUUCGGGGACAUGGAUACAGGUGGUGCAUGGUUGUCGUCAGCUCGUGUCGUGAGAUGUUGGGUUAAGUCCCGCAACGAGCGCAACCCUUAUUAUCAGUUGCCAGCAUUAAGUUGGGCACUCUGGUGAGACUGCCGGUGACAAACCGGAGGAAGGUGGGGAUGACGUCAAAUCAUCAUGCCCCUUAUGACCUGGGCUACACACGUGCUACAAUGGAUGGUACAACGAGUUGCGAACUCACGAGAGUAAGCUAAUCUCUUAAAGCCAUUCUCAGUUCGGAUUGUAGGCUGCAACUCGCCUACAUGAAGUCGGAAUCGCUAGUAAUCGCGGAUCAGCAUGCCGCGGUGAAUACGUUCCCGGGCCUUGUACACACCGCCCGUCACACCAUGAGAGUUUGUAACACCCAAAGUCGGUGGGGUAACCUUUUAGGAACCAGCCGCCUAAGGUGGGACAGAUGAUUAGGGUG